rnacentral:rRNA from 1 species
UUAUGAAUAAGGAUCGGCUAACUCCGUGCCAGCAGCCGCGGUAAUACGGAGGAUCCGAGCGUUAUCCGGAUUUAUUGGGUUUAAAGGGAGCGUAGAUGGAUGUUUAAGUCAGUUGUGAAAGUUUGCGGCUCAACCGUAAAAUUGCAGUUGAUACUGGAUAUCUUGAGUGCAGUUGAGGCAGGCGGAAUUCGUGGUGUAGCGGUGAAAUGCUUAGAUAUCACGAAGAACUCCGAUUGCGAAGGCAGCUUGCUGGACUGUAACUGACGCUGAUGCUCGAAAGUGUGGGUAUCAAACAGGAUUAGAUACCCUGGUAGUCCACACAGUAAACGAUGAAUACUCGCUGUUUGCGAUAUACAGUAAGCGGCCAAGCGAAAGCGUUAAGUAUUCCACCUGGGGAGUACGCCGGCAACGGUGAAACUCAAAGGAAUUGACGGGGGCCCGCACAAGCGGAGGAACAUGUGGUUUAAUUCGAUGAUACGCGAGGAACCUUACCCGGGCUUAAAUUGCAGAUGAAUUACGGUGAAAGCCGUAAGCCGCAAGGCAUCUGUGAAGGUGCUGCAUGGUUGUCGUCAGCUCGUGCCGUGAGGUGUCGGCUUAAGUGCCAUAACGAGCGCAACCCUUAUCGAUAGUUACCAUCAGGUUAUGCUGGGGACUCUGUCGAGACUGCCGUCGUAAGAUGUGAGGAAGGUGGGGAUGACGUCAAAUCAGCACGGCCCUUACGUCCGGGGCUACACACGUGUUACAAUGGGGGGUACAGAAGGCAGCUACCUGGUGACAGGAUGCUAAUCCCAAAAGCCUCUCUCAGUUCGGAUCGAAGUCUGCAACCCGACUUCGUGAAGCUGGAUUCGCUAGUAAUCGCGCAUCAGCCAUGGCGCGGUGAAUACGUUCCCGGGCCUUGUACACACCGCCCGUCAAGCCAUGG